UUUUUCCUACCGGGGCGCAGCAGUGAGGAAUAUUGGUCAAUGGGCGCGAGCCUGAACCAGCCAAGUCGCGUGAGGGAAGACGGUCCUAUGGAUUGUAAACCUCUUUUGUCGGGGAGCAAAAGACGCCACGCGUGGCGUUCCGAGAGUACCCGAAGAAAAAGCAUCGGCUAACUCCGUGCCAGCAGCCGCGGUAAUACGGAGGAUGCGAGCGUUAUCCGGAUUUAUUGGGUUUAAAGGGUGCGCAGGCGGAAGAUCAAGUCAGCGGUAAAAUUGAGAGGCUCAACCUCUUCGAGCCG
rnacentral:rRNA from 1 species